CAUGCCCCUUAUGACCUGGGCUACACGCGUGCUACAAUGGUUGGUACAACGAGUUGCGAGUCGGUGACGGCGAGCUAAUCUCUUAAAGCCAAUCUCAGUUCGGAUUGUAGGCUGCAACUCGCCUACAUGAAGUCGGAAUCGCUAGUAAUCGCGGAUCAGCACGCCGCGGUGAAUACGUUCCCGGGCCUU
rnacentral:rRNA from 1 species